CCUACGGGAGGCUGCAGUGAGGAAUAUUGGUCAAUGGGCGCGAGCCUGAACCAGCCAAGUAGCGUGAAGGAUGACUGCCCUACGGGUUGUAAACUUCUUUUAUAGAGGAAUAAAGUGAGGCACGUGUGCCUUUUUGUAUGUACUUUAUGAAUAAGCAUCGGCUAACUCCGUGCCAGCAGCCGCGGUAAUACGGAGGAUCCGAGCGUUAUCCGGAUUUAUUGGGUUUAAAGGGAGCGUAGAUGGUUUGUUAAGUCAGUUGUGAAAGUUUGUGGCUCAACCGUAAAAUUGCAAUUGAUACUGGAAGUCUUGAGUACAGUUGAGGUAGGCGGAAUUCGUGGUGUAGCGGUGAAAUGCUUAGAUAUCACGCAGAACUCCGAUUGCGAAGGCAGCUUACUAAACUGUAACUGACAUUGAUGCUCGAAAGUGUGGGUAUCAAACAGGAUUAGAUACCCCGGUAGUC
rnacentral:rRNA from 1 species